CAGGCUGCUGUGGCAGGAGAGGACUUCACUGGCAUUUCGGGAUGUCUGCACUGUGGGGCUACCUCUCUUAUAGGUCUUGCCCCUCACAGCUUCUCCCCAGUGCCAGCUGCUGUUGGCAUUUCUCCACAGGACCUCCUGCAUCCAUCCCCACAGCCCUUCCCUCGUCCCCGCAGUCCUCUUCCCCCUUAUCCCAUGCAGCCAUACCCACAGCCUCUUAGCCUGUUCCAGCAGCCGUCCUGCUUUACUCAGUAAUCUGUCCCCUGUGACCGCUGUAUCUGUCGUCACAGCCCUUUCUCCCCUUCAGCCAGGAUCCUGUCCCCCGCAACCUCUCUGCUGCGUCCGCUGUAUUCGGUCCCUGCAGCCAGUGUGUUCUGUCAGAACAGAACUCUAACCCCUGCAGCUGCUGCAUAAAUGACUGGGUCUCUGAGAUAACACCACGGACUUCAGUCUCAGUUUGGGGGCCCUGUCCUGUGAACCUACAUAUAUCAAUCUCUUCAUCGAAUUCUCAAAGGGGUGUGCCAGCCAGCAGCUGAGGACGGCAGGAAUAUCCCAAGAUCAUUUCAGGCACUGAUCGCAUAGGAUGGUCCAUGGCAAGUACUGCUGACUACUGAUACAGCCGUUGCAAAGGCUGCGGAAGAAGGACACCUACAUCCAUGAGCUCGCAUUGGAAUGAAAAGGAAAUCCAGAGAGCUUUAUGACCGGUGUAAAGAUCACCCUUUGAAAAACGUGGUUGAUGAACUAUUCCUAAAAGAACGAUUGACCCAGUAAUCAGUAAUCAGGUCCUGUCGCCAGCACAUCAAUAAAACCUCGAAUUGGUGGAGGUGCCACUAAUAAGUUCUUCUAUGGCUAAUGGAGUUUUAAGAUUAAUCAACUGUGAGUUGACUUUUUUUUUCAUCUAAAGUUAUUGAUAACAUGACUGAACUUUAUGAUAAGACAUACCAGGAAAUUUGACAUGAAUUUUUUUAAUACAACAUUGUUCUAGACUCUUUAAUACCACAAAUUGGAGGAUAAUGUUUGAUUUCCAAAACAGCACUUUGAGUUCACUGCUGUACUUAUUUGACCAAUGACAUUGAUCAAUGACAAUGACAAUGAUCCAGAUACGAUUAUUACCAAUUAUAUAAAGGAAGCCCAAGAUAUAAAAGAAGAACUUUAACAAAGGCAUUAUGAUAUGGAUUGGAAAGGAUAAAUGUUUAAAUCGUAGUAUUCAAUUUUCAGGAUUAGGGAAAAAAAAUUUUUUUUAAGUAUAUUGUAUUUGAUGUUGUAUUUCUUGAUGAAAUUUAUUCUUGUGAUCAUAAUUUUCAUUCUGCUCAUAUAUGUUUUUUUUUAUAGAGGUAGCCCAUACUGUAAUAGAUAUGGCCUAUGCUGUAUGCAAAUGGUUACCACGAGAGAGAAUAUACCAGAGAUGAUGCUGAAUGAAUGUUAUAUUCCUUGUGGUCUAUUAAGUGAUUUAGCACGUGUAGAAUGUGCAUGAUCAAAGUGGGGAAUUGUUAAAUAUCUAAGUGCAUAAGGAAUAUAAUUUAUUUAUUAAGUUAAUAUAUUUGCAUAUUUCAUCGGUAUACAGCUAUACUUAUACCCUAACCCUCCAUCCAUUUUGUUAGAUAGGUGACCUUUAUACAGACACUAGUUCACUUAUAAGAUACAUGUACCUUUAACAGAGUUUAGCAGACUCAUUGUGUGUAAUAGAAUUUGAAUUAGCACCAAAUAAGGCUAACCAGCUUCUAGCUGGUACCCUGUCCUAAUAUGAGCAUAACAUUGUACUCCAAGAUACAUGAAAUCAGUAGGAGUGUUAGAAGAAUUGGGUAUAACUGAAUAUUAUAAAACUAGUGCAUUUGACCCGGGCUGAGAACAUGCUGUCUCUCAGCCUGUG